rnacentral:rRNA from 1 species
GGGUCAGUAGGUUGGUCGUGCCACCGGUACGUACUGGUCUCACUGAUUCCUCCUUCCUGAAGAACCGUAAUGCCAUUAAUUUGGUGGUGCGGGGAAACAGGACUGUUACUUUGACAAAAUUAGAGUGUAUAAAGCAAGCUAACGCUUGAAUACAUUAGCAUGGAAUAAUGAAAUAGGACGAUCGAUCCUAUUUUGUUGGUUUCUAGGAUUGACGUA